rnacentral:rRNA from 1 species
GACGAACGCUGGCGGCGUGCUUAACACAUGCAAGUCGAACGGAAAGGCCCCUUUGGGGGUACUCUAGUGGCGAACGGGUGAGUAACACGUGAGUAACCUGCCCUUGACUUCGGGAUAACUUCAGGAAACUGGGGCUAAUACCGGAUAGGAAUCCUUGCUGCAUGGUGGGGGUUGUAAAGCUUCGGCGGUUUUGGAUGGACUCGCGGCUUAUCAGCUUGUUGGUGGGGUAGUGGCUUACCAAGGCUUUGACGGGUAGCCGGCCUGAGAGGGCGACCGGACACAUUGGGACUGAGAGACGGCCAAGAGUCCUACGGGAGGCAGCAGGGGGGAAUAUUGCACAAUGGGAGGAAGCGUGAGGCAGCAACGCCGCGGGCGGGAUGACGGCCUUCGGGUUGUAAACCGCUUACAGCAGGGGCGAAGCUUGGGGUGACGGUACCUGCAGAAGAAGCACCGGCUAAAUACGUG